rnacentral:rRNA from 1 species
CAGCCGCCGCGGUAAUACAGAGGAUGCAAGCGUUAUCCGGAAUGAUUGGGCGUAAAGCGUCUGUAGGUGGCUUUUCAAGUCCGCCGUCAAAUCCCAGGGCUCAACCCUGGACAGGCGGUGGAAACUACCAAGCUGGAGCACGGUAGGGGCAGAGGGAAUUUCCGGUGGAGCGGUGAAAUGCGUCGAGAUCGGAAAGAACACCAACGGCGAAAGCACUCUGCUGGGCCGACACUGACACUGAGAGACGAAAGCUAGGGGAGCAAAUGGGAUUAGAUACCCCCGUAGUCCCUGUCUCUUAUAA